rnacentral:misc_RNA from 1 species
UGGUUUUUUUUUUUUUUUUUAAUCUCUAUCGUGCAAUAACUUGAGGUGAUGUAGAACAUUUGAUUCCUUGUUUCUUUAAACGAAAAUGUGUAUAUUUUUGUCAAGUGUUGAAAUUCUCUGUUGACAGUUAGUAGUCUUAUUAUAGUCAAGUACUUGAAUUAAAUUGGCAAGUUGAGAUAGCAGUUGCACUGCACUGUAAUUCUUCCAUGCAAGGACUUGAGUGUGAGAAGCUUCCUGUUAUAUUUUGUAUUGUGAUGUUCAAAGAGCAACUGGGUACAUCUGUAAAUGGGUAUUCAAAACAGGAUGCUCAACCGUAUAAUGAUAAUUCUACAAUCAAGACUUGGAUUUGGGAAAUAGAGCAGCAAAUCCAUUUUAGAUCUUUAUCUCCACUGAAACUCUUCUGCAUGGGAUGAG